GAUUUAAAAUCCGUUCUCAUUUAGGAGUUACUGGUUCGAGUCCAGUAGCGAGUAC
rnacentral:tRNA from 1 species